rnacentral:rRNA from 1 species
GCUUGGUGGAUCAGUGGCGAACGGGUGAGUAACACGUGAGCAACCUGCCCUGGACUCUGGGAUAAGCGCUGGAAACGGCGUCUAAUACUGGAUAUGAGACGUGAUCGCAUGGUCGUGUUUGGAAAGAUUUUUCGGUCUGGGAUGGGCUCGCGGCCUAUCAGCUUGUUGGUGAGGUAAUGGCUCACCAAGGCGUCGACGGGUAGCCGGCCUGAGAGGGUGACCGGCCACACUGGGACUGAGACACGGCCCAGACUCCUACGGGAGGCAGCAGUGGGGAAUAUUGCACAAUGGGCGGAAGCCUGAUGCAGCAACGCCGCGUGAGGGAUGACGGCCUUCGGGUUGUAAACCUCUUUUAGCAGGGAAGAAGCGAAAGUGACGGUACCUGCAGAAGAAGCGCCGGCUAACUACGUAG